rnacentral:rRNA from 1 species
UGGGGAAUAUUGCACAAUGGGCGAAAGCCUGAUGCAGCAACGCCGCGUGAGUGAUGAAGGCCUUCGGGUUGUAAGGCUCUGUCUUUUGGGACGAUAAUGACGGUACCAAAGGAGGAAGCCACGGCUAACUACGUGCCAGCAGCCGCGGUAAUACGUAGGUGGCAAGCGUUGUCCGGAUUUACUGGGCGUAAAGGAUGCGUAGGCGGAUUUUUAAGUGAGAUGUGAAAACCCUAAGCUUAACUUGGGGACUGCAUUUCAUACUGGAAAUCUAGAGUGCGGGAGAGGAGAAUGGAAUUCCUAGUGUAGCGGUGAAAUGCGUAGAGAUUAGGAAGAACACCAGUGGCGAAGGCGAUUCUCUGGACCGUAACUGACGCUGAGGCAUGAAAGCGUGGGUAGCAAACAGGAUUAGAUACCCUGGUAGUCCACGCCGUAAACGAUGAGUACUAGGUGUAGGAGGUAUCGACCCCUUCUGUGCCGCAGUUAACACAAUAAGUACUCCGCCUGGGAAGUACGAUCGCAAGAUUAAAACUUAAAUGAAUUGACGGGGUCAUAGCUGUUUCCU